rnacentral:rRNA from 1 species
GACCACCGGGUCAAGAGGCCAGAGGUGCAAGCACAGCAAUGUGCUCAGCUGACUGGUGCUCAUCAGACGAGGUCUUGAUCU